AUAACUUAUCAGAUAGAUAAUCCACAAACAAUUUCACGACAGCAGUACAAAGCACGUUAACAAUAAAGAGUUACAAUUGUCGGCGCAACAGAAUCGCCAGAAUAUCGAUGCGACUUUCAAGUCUACGAUAAUAAUAACUCAGCUAUUCACUAUGUUCAACGAUAAACGCGAACCGCUCCACGAUCAGGAGGGAACUGAACUGUUCGGCGAACGUCUCGUUCAGCAGGAGCUGCGAUUCGCUCCGCCUGACUCAGAAACUGCAGGACACAACACGCCAGCCGUUGUGUAGUCUGGCUGGAUAGCUGCAGGCUUGAGGUCUCUGUGGGAGUCGCCGACUGUGGAGAUUCGGUCAAAUGAUGGAAGCCGAGGAUGGUAGUACCAGCCACGAGAUACGUUCUCUACUACCAAACGACCAAGUGCAUAUAUAUAUAUAUAGGAUAUAUAUACAUAAAACAAAUAGUGUACAGUUGAAAUACAUAGAACAGAGUAUGGGACAAACCACCAAGGCUGAAUGAUACUUAUGACUUUGCUGAUCCCUCAUGGGAGGAUGACAAUCGUGCAUAGAUUUAUCACUGAUAUAUGUUUUAGUAAACAAAGUCAAAUGGAUAUAUAAUGGAUUUACGAGAUUUACGCAAGGCGGUGGGUGUAUCAGCGUGGAUGUCGCGCAUUGAUGAAGAACCAUGAGCUUCAAUGAAAAAUGACUGUGACAGGAUAAAGGAUAGAAUCCAAAUAGAAAUUCAAACCGGUUGACACAGACAGAAUGUCACCCCUGCAGUGUCACUAUUUUUAGUAUCCGUAACUUUAUUCUUUCCUUCGUUAACGAUGAGACAUUACCUAAGAAAUUGAAGAUUAGAUCUGUUUGAUUAUAAGUAAUAAAUUUUUUCAAAGGA